CACACUGUAAACGAUGAUAACUCGCUGUCGGCGAUACACAGUCGGUGGCCAAGCGAAAGCAUUAAGUUAUCCACCUGGGGAGUACGACCGCAAGGUUGAAACUCAAAGGAAUUGACGGGGGCCCGCACAAGCGGAGGAACAUGUGGUUUAAUUCGAUGAUACGCGAGGAACCUUACCCGGGCUCGAACGGUGCAUGAAUAUACGAGAGAUUGUAUAGUCCUUCGGGACAUGUAUCGAGGUGC
rnacentral:rRNA from 2 species